rnacentral:rRNA from 1 species
AUGCACGCUGGCGGCGUGCCUAAUACAUUCAAGUCGCGCGAACGGACGAGAAGCUUGCUUCUCUGAUGUUAGCGGCGGCCGGGUGAGUAACCCGUGGAUAACCUACCUAUAAGACUGGGAUAACUUCGGGAAACCGGAGCUAAUACCGGAUGAUAUUUUGAACCCCAUGGUUCAAAAGUGAAAGACGGUCUUGCUGUCACUUAUAGAUGGAUCCGCGCUGCAUUAGCUAGUUGGUAAGGUAACGGCUUACCAAGGCAACGAUGCAUAGCCGACCUGAGAGGGUGAUCGGCCACACUGGAACUGAGACACGGUCCAGACUCCUACGGGAGGCAGCAGUAGGGAAUCUUCCGCAAUGGGCGAAAGCCUGACGGAGCAACGCCGCGUGAGUGAUGAAGGUCUUCGGAUCGUAAAACUCUGUUAUUAGGGAAGAACAUAUGUGUAAGUAACUGUGCACAUCUUGACGGUACCUAAUCAGAAAGCCACGGCUAACUACGUG